UUUUUUUGGCUCUUUAACCCAAUAAGAAAGCUGUAUAUGACCUUUUCAUUUUGGACUGUUAACAUUCAAAUUAUGAUGGACUUGUUUCCUUGUUUAUGUGAAUUACAGCAUCAUCAGCUGCAGGAUCUGCCUGUUAUGUAAAACUGGUAAGCUCAAUGACAGUAUCCUGAGAGCAAUUAAGUGACAAAUAUUGUGCAAGAACAGCACUAUAUACAACCCUGUGUAUUUCUGCUUCUUAGAAUGUUUACUGACAAUUAUCACACCUAAAAUAAGAAAUAAUAUUCUGUACUUUUAGCAACUAGUUGUCAGCUGUAAACCAGAAACAUCAUAGGGUUCUGUAUACUAAUCAGUCUAAAUCAAAAUGAGUACUACCCAAUACACAGUGAACAACAACAAUCUGUACCCUUGAUCUGUGGUAAAAUAAUCUGAAAUGUUCUGUGUGUAACCCAGGUUACCAGGCCUUAUUAACAGUCCAGUUCACCAGUUGAUUAAUUAGACAAAUAAAUUAAUAAAUUCAUAUUUUUACCAAGGCUGCUCAGCGGCGUAGUGGUUAGCACUUUCGCCUUGCAGCUAGAAGAUCCCUGGUUCAAAUCUCGGGGUGGGCCUGGGAUCUUUCUGCAUGGAGUUUGCAUGUUCUCCCUGUGCAUGCGUGGGUUUUCUCCGGGUACUCCGGCUUCCUCCCACAGUCCAAAAACAUGCUGAGGUUAAUUGAUUACUCUGAAUUGCCCGUAGGUGUGAAUGCGAGUGUGAUUGUUCGUCUAUGUAUGUAGCCCUGUGACAGACUGGUGACCUGUCCAGGGUGUCCCCUGCCUUCGCCCGAGUCAGCUGGGAUAGGCUCCAGCACCCCCCGCAACCCUAGUGAUGAUAAAGCGAAAGGUUAGCGAAAGGGAGUGGGAAGUAAGAAUAGUCCAUAAGGUGAACCACAUUCUCGCUAACAUUACAAAAUGUGAGUCCUUUUAAGGUUUGCAUCCUAUUCCUGUCUCAUACGGUUCUGGGCCUUGAUCGAGCCUGCAUUGCCAUCCAUGGUCCAUGUGAGACAUGCACACCAAGGAACCUUCCCAGAGCCCAAUUCAGCAGCAGCACGAUCACUCCAACCCACAGAUGAGCUCUUUCUCUUUCUCAACUUCUUGGCCCUGGGUUCCAAACAGUGUGACCUAGCUGACCGUUAUGGAGUUCACCAGUCCACGGUGAGCCGAAUCAUCACAACCUGGAGCAACUUCCUCUAAACUGUCCUAGGAGCAAUCAGGAUAUGGAUCCCUUCUGAGAAAAUAAAGGAGCACAUGCCAGCAGAGUUUAAGCCAGACUAUGCAGACACUAUUGUUAUCCUGGACUGCACAGAGCUGAGGUGCCAGUGUCCAACAUCUCCUCUCCUCCAGAGUGAAGUGUUCUCUGCAUACAAGUCACACUGCACUCUCAAAGGGCUGAUCGGUAUUGCUCCGCAUGGGCCGACCGCAUUCAUCUCUCCACUAUAUGCAGGAUCAAUCAGUGACAAGCAGAUCAUGUGAGAGUCUGGAAUCAUCCCCCUGUUGAAACCCGGAAUGGCCAUCAUGGUUGACAGAGGUUUUCUUGUUGAUGAAUUUGUGCCGUGUAAGAUCUACAGGUCACCCUUUCUCUUUGGCAGAUCUCAGAUGUCUGCUGCUGAGGUCAGGGAAACACAAGAAAUUGCACACCUCAGGGUGUAUGUGGAACGCUUCGUACGCAGGGUGAAGGAACACAAGCUUUUUGACACUGAGAUUCCUCUUCGGCUGUUCGGCAACAUCAAUCAGCUGUACACUGUUGCUUUUCUCCUGACAAACUAUGAAAAUGGGCCUCUUGUAAAGGCUUCAAGUGAGCGCGCUUAAACUUAACCUGGCUCUAAUUUGUGUUGCCGGCUUAUUAUCACUCGUGACAAAGUUAACGUUAGUAAGCUGGGUCAAAUAUGGAUAAAUUUGUUUUUAAACGUCGCCGGACGGAACAACAGACAGCGGUGGUGGGUGAGUUGGAUAAAACUACGGACACACCUGCAAGGGAAGAUGACCACUCUGGUCCUGGGUCUCCCAUGUUCAAUGCUUGGGAGGAUGAAAAUGAGCAAGAUGAAGAGGAGAUGGAGCAGGAGGAAGAGGAAGAGACGUUUCUCAGCCGAGGCCGGAGGUGUUUUAUCUAGAGUCUCGGCACUCAGCCCCAAACAUGCGUCUUUCCUGGACAAAAAAUAUCUGCAGCCUAUGGAACAGUUCUACGGAGUGACUGAUCAAAACCUGACAGCAGAGCUACACCAAGUUCAGUGCCUGCUGGAAAGAAAGAGAGCGCAGGGACAUGUAGUGAAUGAGACUGUGGGAUUUCUUGCUUUAUUGUGGCCUUACCGGGAUGCUUUUGUGGAUUUAUACAAACUCAUCUGUAUUUCACUAACCCUGCCCAUGACCUCUGCUUUGUGUGAACGGAGUUUUUCCUGCCUCCGUCGGAUUAAGAACUAUCUACGGAACAGGAGCGGUGAUACCCGAAACAGCAACUUGGCCCUGUUGUCAAUCAAUAAACAGAAGACAAAGACUUUGGAUGUCCAACGCAUCAUUGACAACUUUGCCUCCAGUCACAAAAACCAGAGGAUUGUGCUUGUGUGAACAUUAGCUGGUGAGUUAUUGUUUUGUUUACUUUGUGAAGCGCUGUGGUUUCCCUCCUUGGCUGCUUAGCCUACUUAAUUUGUUGGAGCUGUGUUAAAACUCUUGGCUGCUCCGGAAUACUGUAAAUGGUUUUAGGUCAACUUGAAAAUGUGUGCUGUUAAAUGGGCUGAUCUGUGUGUUGAAGUUUGCCUUUUGACCACUCUAAUCUUAUAUUGGUCUCAUCGCCUCCCAUCUAUGCCGUUGAACAACCUGUUGUACUGUUAAGGUAACUAGUGCUGUAACUGUGACUGUUUCGAGCUGUGGUUGGAGAGUAUUUUAUUAAAUAUACAUUCACACUGAAA